GGGUCUGCUGCCGGAACCGCCAAAGGAGGGAGGUCUUCUGGUGGAAACCAAACCGAAGGGUGGAUAGUCCAUACAUGGCUCAUGAAGUCAGGGUCGGCACCUCCCAGCACAUCCGGCAUAGACAAAGCAGGCGAGGCGGGGCCGGCAACAGUGGUGGCGCCCAGUGCAGUCCGCACGGGCAAAGCAGCCGGGCAUGGGGCAGUGGGGACAGCCGCGGGAGAAGCGAUCGAGGAUGGGACGGCCGGAACAAACAGGACACCUCCGGCGAGGUUGGCGCGGCGAUCACAGAUCACGCAGCAGGCCCGCCUGGGAAGCUGAAGCUGAUUUUACAUGUGACUCACUCUCACACACAACAAGACAACAAUAAGGAACCUCCGUCUGCCGAUCAUGCCAGAAGAAACAGAGCGAGGCUGCCAGACUUCUCAGGGCGUGCCUUCCUCACUCGGAAUCCUCUGAGGCUUUGGCAGCAAGGUGUUAGGUCCGUGUUACGGCACCAAAUUGUGAAAAAUGCCAAUCACUUAUGUUAAAAUUUUAGAAGUUUAAUAGUAAUCACAUAGUAAUAAACAUUAGGACAAUAAGAAUUUGGACAAUCAAAGUUAGGAAAAUAAAAGGCAAUAAAAAGCAAAGAAUUAUGGACGUCUGGGCGCUUUUGUUCUGCCACAAAGGCACAUUUUGCUAUCAAAGGAUUAACCCUUAAAAGCAAUAGCCUAUUGCAUAUUCAUAUAUCUCAUACAUGAUUCAAACAUUCCUUUCAUUAUGAAUAAGGGGGUAAUUCAUGCUGGAAAUGUAAGAUUAUUAAUGUAAUAUAAAAUAAAGCUUUAAGAUCAUGCCAGCAAAGGGGAAAGGAUGAUUGCCAAACAGGACAGCUGGGAGCCGAGGAGGAGGUGCAUCAUUAACAUACAAAGAAAACCUAGCCUGCACAGAAGAUGGGCACUCCCCGAUGGCACGAACAAGAAAAUGCCCAGCGAUGAUGGCCCAUGUAGAUGUCCACCUCAGAUAGACAGGACCAUCAAGGACAUACAUCUGAAUGAAGGAUUCCGGGAACUGGAGACAGAUACACAUCAAUUCCCACACGUGACUUUGUCCAGCACAGGACAGAGAAUAGACACUGCAUGAAUAUGAAGUACUCCAGGAGGGGACAAAGGGACUCUGCUGUGGGCAAGAAAAAAAGUAUAAAAAUCGAACUCUGCCAGGCCUCGGUGGUUGAACAGGGGGAUUUGGUGCGAUAGACGCCGGAUCAUCGUUCACCUGCUCCGAUCCCGGGGUUGGCGCUACUUUUUGAUUGUUGGCGGUCGGGACUGUAUAUUGGUCGCAAAUAAAUUUAAUUUUUAUUUUUGA